CAACUUUCAGCAACGGAUCUCUUGGCUCUCGCAUCGAUGAAGAACGCAGCGAAAUGCGAUAAGUAAUGUGAAUUGCAGAAUUCAGUGAAUCAUCGAAUCUUUGAACGCACCUUGCGCUCCUUGGUAUUCCCGAGGAGCAUGCCUGUUUGAGU
rnacentral:rRNA from 1 species